rnacentral:rRNA from 1 species
UGCGGUUAAACAAAAAUUAAAUUAAAUUUUUUUAGGAUUUAAUAAAUAAGUAAAAAAUAAUAAAUUAAAUUUUAAGUUAUAAGGUGAAAUUUUAAUUUAAAUAAAAUUUAUUUUUUUUUAUAAUAUUAAUAAAUUUUAUAAAAAACUAGGAUUAGAUACCCUACUAUAAAAAUUUAAAUUUAGAAUCUUAGAAUAGUAUGUAAAUUUUUACAAAAACUUAAAUAAUUUGGCGGUAUUUUAGUUUAUUUAGAGGAAUCUGUCUAAUGAUUGAUAAUCCACGAUUAAAUUUACUUAAUUUAUAAUUUUGUAUAUCGUUGUUAAAAAAAUAUUUAUAUAUAAUUAUAAUAUUUUAAAAUUUCAAUUUGAAAUUAAAUCAGAUCAAGAUGCAGAUUAUAUUUAAGAAUAUGAUGGAUUACAUUAAAUUUUAUUUUUGAAUAUUAAGUUGAAAAAAUUAAUUGAAAUUGGAUUUAAAUGUAAUUUUAUUUAUUUAAUUAAAAUGAUUUAAUAUUAAAAUAUGUACAUAUUGCCCGUCGCUUCUAUUUAUAAAUUAGAAUAAGUCGUAACAAAGUAGAGGUACUGGAAAGUGUUUCUAGAAAGAU